rnacentral:lncRNA from 1 species
UGACUAUCUGUCUCAUCGUAAUUGCUGUGAAGUAAAAGGGAAGGAAGAGGCACUUUUUGUAAACAAGUAUUUCAGUGUGUGGAGAACUUGGUGUAGCACAGUGGUGCAAACACUCUAGAACUCAAUGCAAAAACCUGAGACUGCAAAAAUAAGCAAACAUCUUGAAGAAAGAAGGAAUUGAAAGUAUUGAAGGAGAAAACUGCACAGUUCUUGUGGGUUUUUUUGUUGUUGUUGUUUUGUUUUGUUUUGUUGAAUUAUACUGCUUCUCGAGCAAGGAGAAGAGAAAAGAUGGCUUUAAAAGAUUUGGCUUGCAACGAGUUGUUUGAAAUCAUGCUACUACAAAAACACUGUCUUCUUCCCUCAUCGAUUUGUAGAGUUUUCAUGGUGUUCCAUUCGCAGAUCCUUUGGAGUGUCUAUAAUUUCUUUCUCUGAUUUUAUACACCUUAGACAUGUGGCAAGAAAAGUGUUUUUUUGACUGUGCAGAAAUACUGUGGCAACAGACAAGAUCGUAUUUGGAAGUGGGAUCACUUUCUCAGUUGAACCAAAAAGACAAAAAGAUUCUACACCAGAAGUCAUUGCACUUAAAUCAAAGGAGUGCAAACAGUAUGCCAGUGUUUUGAAUGUGGCUUGUUUGGCAAGAACAUUCUACAAGAACAUUAGUCUUGAUGGGCCCAAGGGUGACAUUGUGUAUGAUCUGAAGGAACCUAUUCUCACAUCUGAGGGGAUGUACAGUACCUUGAAAGUAGUCGGCGUAAAACGAGAUACAGAAGGGACCUGCAAAGCUGUGCACAAGGGGAAUAAGACUGUAGCAAGCACAGUCCUGCCUGAAGAGAAAGAUGAAGAACUGGCAUCAGAGAAUGCUUGCAACUUUACAGAUGCCUCUAAAAAAGGUUAGUUACCUCAAACAGUAAUAUUGUCAAUGCGCUUUACUGGGGAUUCAGUAGCAUCACAUGGAAACAGUACAGAAAUGUCUGAAUUGUAGAUACUGGUUAAGCAGUAAGUUUCACUUGUGGAUUCCAUAAAAAGGCAUGAAGAAAAUGCUUUUUCUGAUGCAAAAAUGUCAGAUUACGGAGUAAAAACAUGCCAUUUCAAAUUAACAGGUUAAAUAGAUGACAAUG